rnacentral:lncRNA from 1 species
GGAACUGGUCUUCAGCAGGUGCUACUUCGGCUUCUGGGAUUGGCGGCUCUGCUACAGCUCUGUCUUCAGGCACCGGAUGUAGCUCGUAGGUGCCGUCGGCGAGAUGUAACUCUACACGAAUGCAGAUGCAGGAGUUAGCACUUAGACGGUUAUUUCAACAAUACUUGCAAGCUUAAGCUCAGACACUUGUAGCAAAGCUACAGGAAAGGGGGGGGGAACAGGGUAGAAGGGUCGGAUAGAGAUAAACUUAUGAUCUGACCCUUAAACUUAAGGAAUAACUAUACCGGGGUCCUCGUACUUAACAUAGAGAAGUCCCCGAUAUUUUACAUAGAUAUCCUCGGGUCAAGCAAAAGAUACAGCCG